GUAGCCUACGGGGCGCAGCAGUGAGGAAUAUUAGUCAAUGGGCGGAAGCCUGAACCAGCCAAGUCGCGUGAGGGAAGAAGGCCCUGCGGGUCGCAGACCUCUUUGGACGGGGAGCAAGGCCGCCGACGUGUCGGCGGAAGGAGAGUACCCGUAGAAAAAGCAUCGGCUAACUCCGUGCCAGCAGCCGCGGUAAUACGGAGGAUGCGAGCGUUAUCCGGAUUUAUUGGGUUUAAAGGGGGCGCAGGCGGUCUGUUAAGUCAGCGGUCAAAGCCCGGGGCUCAAACCCGGGCCGCCGUUGAAACUGG
rnacentral:rRNA from 1 species